ensembl:lncRNA
UUUUUUUUGAAAAAUAACGACGUCUCUGAGGCGCGAAUUCCGACAGUGAGAGGAACGGCCGGAUACAGGAGACGGGAAGAAACAAGCCGAUUAUGUUCGCUUUAAUUAAGUGGUUGGAAGAUGUAAAAUUCUCAAUUCUGCCAACUGAACAUAUACGAGAUUUUAAUGAGGAUGAAUAAUUAGCCGGCAUGGAGGAAACGGACCUUUAUUUGGUGGAGUGGCGACAAGAAGCCACAAGGUGGGUGGCCGGUCUAUGAAGCCUCCAUCAUCAAGCUAGCAGAAAUCCCACCUCUCCUUCUGGCUACAGAGUACUUACCAAGCCCAUGAAAUCGAAUGCAGAUCUUCCUGAUGUGAGAUUUACAUAAAUAUGUCAAAGUCUCAACCUCAUGCUGCCCUCCCCCAUCUUCCUAAAGUUCAAUGGUGCGUGUUCUUCUAAUGGCUGCCUUCCCACUGGAGGUUUUGAUCCACAGCAAUUUAAAAGGAGGACAGAGCAAAACGGACAUCGGCGCAGAGCGAAGAACUGCCCUUCAUAAGGACACUAUGACAGCCAUAUAUAUGGCAGUAAGGAAGAGGUUUCCCACUGUGUCCAGAAGGGCUUUGAGGAUUGCAGUGAAAGCUGGGGGAACUGAGACUGCUGGAAAAGGAAAAGAAAUUACAUUUUAAGUAUGUUGACUUAUGUUCAUACAUUCACACACACAUAUACACAUACACACACAUAUGUAUAUAUAUAUAUACAUAUACACACACAUAUAUGUAUAUGUGUG